GAAAUGCGAUAAGUAGUGUGAAUUGCAGAAUUCAGUGAAUCAUCGAAUCUUUGAACGCACAUUGCGCCCUUUGGUAUUCCUUAGGGCAUGCCUGUUCGAGCGUCAUCUAAACCUUCAAGCCCUGCUUGGUGUUGGGUGCCUGUCCCGCCUCCGGCGCGGACUCACCUCAAAUCCAUUGGCGGCCCCCGCGUCGGCCACGAGCGCAGCAGAAACGCGAACUCGUGAGCCCGUCCGGGCGGCUCCCAGAAGCUACACCCACCCAGUUUGACCUCGGAUCAGGUAGGGAUACCCGCUGAACUUAAGC
rnacentral:misc_RNA from 1 species